CGCAGUAGAGCCCGGGGCGUGAGGCCAGCUGCAUCGUUGCCAUGGUAGUGGCCUGCCGGGAUUUAGCUGGGCAGGCGAGAUAAGUAGGGUCAGUGUCUAGUUGACCCGCUGGGUCUGCGCGGAACCUGACUGGCGGCAUUACAAAAUGGGCUGAGACGUCGGUGGUUAACUGGAUGAGGUCGACUUCGGGAAGAAGGGCGCGACUGGUCCGGGUGUCUGGUUUGAGGAGCGGGUGGGGCUGAGGUUUUCUUGGGUCCGGUGUCUGACCUGUAGGUGACUGCAGUAUUUUGGGAACCCCCAUACCUGACGGGCGCAUGACAGGAAGUGUGCGGACCCCACUCCUGAUGGGUGACAUGUAGUGAAGGAAUCUUCAAUCUUAGUGUUCAUGGGAAUGACCGAGACAGCAGGAAGAUCUCUAAGUUCUGAAGAAUCCAGGUUUGAAAAUGGAGAUGUAUGAAACUCUCGGAAAAGUGGGAGAGGGAAGUUAUGGAGCAGUCAUGAAAUGUAAACAUAAGGAUACUGGGCAGAUAGUGGCCAUUAAGAUAUUUUAUGAGAAACCAGAAAAAUCUGUCAACAAAAUUGCAACGAGAGAAAUAAAGUUUUUAAAGCAAUUUCAUCAUGAAAACCUGGUCAAUCUGAUUGAAGUUUUUAGACAGAAAAAGAAAAUUCAUUUGGUGUUUGAAUUUAUUGACCACACAGUAUUAGAUGAGUUACAACAUUAUUGUCACGGACUGGAGAGUAAACGACUUAGAAAAUACCUGUUCCAGAUCCUUCGGGCAAUUGAAUAUCUUCACAAUAAUAAUAUCAUUCAUCGAGAUAUAAAACCUGAGAAUAUUUUAGUAUCCCAGUCAGGAAUUACUAAGCUCUGUGAUUUUGGUUUUGCACGAACUCUAGCAGCUCCUGGGGACAUUUAUACGGACUAUGUGGCCACACGCUGGUAUAGAGCUCCAGAAUUAGUAUUAAAAGAUACCUCUUAUGGAAAACCUGUAGAUAUCUGGGCUUUAGGUUGUAUGAUCAUUGAGAUGGCCACUGGAAAUCCCUAUCUUCCUAGCAGCUCUGAUUUGGAUUUACUUCAUAAAAUUGUUUUAAAAGUAGGCAAUUUGACACCUCAUUUACAGAAUAUCUUUUCCAAGAGUCCCAUUUUUGCUGGGGUGGUCCUUCCUCAAGUUCAACACCCCAAAAAUGCAAGAAAAAAAUACCCAAAGCUAAAUGGAUUGUUGGCAGAUAUAGUUCAUGCUUGUUUACAAAUUGAUCCUGCUGAGAGGACAUCGUCAACUGAUCUUUUGCAUCAUGAGUAUUUUACUAGAGAUGGAUUUAUAGAAAAAUUUAUACCAGAACUGAGAGCUAAAUUACUACAAGAAGCAAAAGUCAAUUCAUUCAUAAAGCCAAAAGAGAAUUCUAAAGAAAAUGAACUUAUGAAAGAUGAAAGGAAAACAACUUCUACCAAUACACUGUUAAGUACUCCAAUUUUGGGAAAGGAAAUGGAAAAAGAGAAAAGGCCCAAGGAGAUCAAAGUCAGAGUUAUUAAAGUCAAAGGAGGAAAAGGAGAUAUCUUAGAAUCAAAAAAGACAGAGUGUGAAGGUGGACAUUGUCAACAGGAUGCAAUUGAAAAUAUUCAUACUAUAUCUCAAGACACAAAAUCUAUAAUCAGUGAACUACCAAACCCUGUCAAUCCCGGCACUAACUCUAAUGGAAUGAAAAAUGAUCCACAUGCUGGAGGUAGUAUGAUGAUGCCACCUAUCAAUCUAACUAGCAGUAAUCUGGUGGCUUCAAAUCCCAAGUCAAAUCUUUCCCACUCCAAGAGCCAAAUGGAGAAGGGUAUAUUUAAUGAGCGAACAGGUCAAAAUGACCAAAUAGCAAAUGGAAACAAAAGAAAGCUGAAUUUUUCCAGAUCUGACAGGAAGGAAUUCCAUUUCCCAGAACUGCCUUUCACGAUACAGCCCAAGGAGAUGAAAGGAACGGAAGGUUUCCAUGAUUUGCAACUUUAUUCUGGUUGGUGUUGGAAAGGCAGGCUUGAAUGACCAUCCUAGUCCCAAGUAGAGCAACAGUAUCUGCCAUCCCACAUGCUCUUCUGGAACUUUGCCUUUGCCUCUGUAAAGCUGGAGUCUGAUUCUACUCUCUUUGAGUCUGGCUGAGGAAUUCUGGAUAUCCUUUAAGAUGUAGCUCAAGCAUCAGCUUCUGUGGAAGUACUUCCCAAGCUGCCCCAAGUAAUGAUGCCGUUCCUCUUCUGUACGUGUUUAAUAAAUACGUUUACCUGUAGGAAUGUCCGUCUUCCACUGCUGGACCAUGAGUUCAGUGGACUGUGUUUUAUGUGUCUUUGGGUUUUCCCCACUAUUCCUGUAUUUCUUCCCGUCACCUGUCCUCCACAUGCAUCUCUAUGCCUGUCAUGUGGUAAGUGCCAAUUAAAUGUUGCUUUUGGAACAGAGAGGUAUAAAGGCUUGGGGUGUGGUCUUCUAGAAUUCUCAGAGCUGGGAAUCAAACCCUUUUUUGCAUCUAAAAUACUUGAGAGAAUCUGAUAAAUGCUAAGAACCUUUCUUUCCCCAGGGAAAAAAGCAUAUACAAAAGA